rnacentral:rRNA from 1 species
UACGGAGGAUGCGAGCGUUAUCCGGAUUCAUUGGGUUUAAAGGGUGUGUAGGCGGUUUCUUAAGUCAGUGGUGAAAUCCUGCGGCUCAACCGUAGAACUGCCAUUGAAACUGAGGAACUUGAAUAUAGUUGAGGUAGGCGGAAUGAGUAGUGUAGCGGUGAAAUGCUUAGAUAUUACUCAGAACACCGAUUGCGAAGGCAGCUUACUAAACUAUUAUUGACGCUGAUGCACGAAAGCGUGGGGAGCGAACAGG